AUCUCCGUAGUGUAAAUCUAACACACUUCAUUUUCGUUGAAGAAAAGAAAAAUUUUUUUCCUGAGAUA
rnacentral:tRNA from 1 species